CCUGAAGUCCAAAGGAAAAAACGAACAGAAGCACAAAAACCCUAAGCCCAAGAUCAAAAGAAACAUGGAAAAAACCAAAAGAACCCUAAUCCUAAAGCACCUACGAACAGAAACUCUGUUUUGGUACCUCCAUGUCUUUUCUGCAAAUAGAUCGUCAUUUCAGUGCUCCGAAGGAUGCCCAAAUAUUCUGUAUGAUAUCAAUUGAGAAUGCCCCUUCAGAUAAGUAUUUGAACUUGUAACUUCAUAUCCUAGCAACAGGAUCCCGUGAAUCUGAGGUUUCAUGGCUAGAAGACUGAACCCCCGUGCUUCCCCCUGUCUCCACAGUCCAUUCCUUUACAAUGACCCGAACUGUUGUUUUUAUGGAACCCUCGCCUAGACUAGUUUCACUCCCAUCUUUAAGCCCCUCUUUAGCCAAGGGCAUCACCUUCCAAUUCAACCUUUAGGAACCCAGAUUCUACCCCAAAUCUAAUUGCUAGGCGAGGGCCCCUGCUGCAAAUGCUGUCGGGAUCUGAGUAUUGAUGAAAACUUUAUAUUUUAAAACCUUACCCCUCUAGUCACGAAUUAAAAUUCCAAAGCAUGAUAUCAUACAUUGUUUGUCAAAUGUAGCAUCAAAAUUAAUCUUCACGAAGGGAUCUCUUAGAGGGCUCCAACCUUCUUCCCAUGCAUUUCUGUCAGGUCCUUGUUCUCUUACUCCUUCAAUUUCUCGAAUAUAAUUUUUAACAAAUUGGGCUAAAUCAGCUGCAUGUUGGAUUUCCCUUUCAUGUACAAAUUUUUUACGUGACAUCCAUAAACCCCCAUAAAGUACCUACAAUUAAUCUGAUCUGUUGACUUGAUUCUUUAUUAAAUUACAACAUCACCCAAUCUUUAAUUUGUAACUCAUUUUCCUCUAGGGUCCCUCUUAUGCCCAGACUAGUCCAACAUUAAUAGCAAAAGAGCACUUCCUAAAGACAUGCUCGGUGAGCUCCCAAGUCGUUGCUGGUAAAGAUUAAACAAAGUAGAGAUAAAGUUAUUAAAAGUUUUCCAAACUAGGAUUUUAAUUUGUGAGGACAGAUCCACCACUCAGAGCUUCUUAUACAUGGUUUUUUAAAAGUCGGUGUUAGCUUGUAAAGUAAUUGGGUUAUCUAUCUGUAGUAUUUUUUUUGUAACCACUAUGUACUAAGUUCAAUCUCGAGCUUCACCACACCAGACCAACCUAUUCACUUCUUUCUCCAUGGGGAGGGGAAUGCAAAGAAUUCUUUCAGUAUCAUUGGCAUGAAAGAUCAAGAAAGACAAGAAGACGAUCUCAAACGGGGAAAUGAAAAGAUCGUGGAGUAAAUCGUGAAAUUAUAAUAUUUUGCACCGAGUAUAGCUCAGAAAUUUGGACAGAGUCGGAAUAUCAUCCACACUAUCUACAUCUUUUGGUAAAUAGAACCCGACCGAGUUAUAAUGGAUGAUGUAGAAAGUAAUGCGUCGGCUCCCGCGCCAGGGACCGCGCUUGAAGAAAGUAGACAUGAGACGCAUAGUGAGGAUGAGGCUCGGGAAGCCUUUCUUCAUAUGAUGAACAAUUGGUAUACAGAAUUUGUUCGAGCAAACCCGAAUGUUCAACCUCCUCCACCCCCUCCUAUUCUUCAACUGGUUCCCUAGCUCCACAAAAUGUUGACUUAGUAAGAUCAAGUAAACCUCCUGUUGACAAGAUCCGAAAUCAUGGGGCUGAAGAUUUCAAGGCUAAUGUAGAUGAUGAUCCGGAAAAUGUGGAGUUUUGGCUCAAAAAUUUCAUUCGGGUAUUUGAUGAAUUAUCUUGUACUCCCGAAGAAUGUUUAAAGUGUGCAAUAUAUUUAUUAAAAGACUCAGUAUAUCGUUGGUGGAAAACAUUGGUAUAUGUGGUUCCGAAAGAAAGGGUUACAUGGGACUUCUUCCGGGAUGAAUUCAGAAAAAAAAAUACAUAAGCCAACGAUUCAUCGAUCAAAAACGCAAGGAAUUUCUCGAGUUGAAGUAGGGUCGAAUGUCUGUGGUAGAGUAUGAAAGAGAGUUUGUCAGGCUCAGCAAAUAUGCCCAAGAAUGUGUGUCCACAGAGGCCAUCAUGUGCAAAAGAUUCGAAGAAGGGCUAAACGAAGAUAUUAGAUUGUAUGUUGGGAUUUUAGAGUUAAAAGAAUUUGUGGUACUGGUUGACCGAGCUUGCAAGGCUAAAGAACUGAGUAAAGAAAAGAGAAAGGCGGAGAUUGAGGCUCGGGAUGUAAGAAAAAGGUUAAUGAGUAAGACAUUUCAAUCCCAAUCAAAGAAGCUUAAAGAGAUGAAUCCACGAUCAACUGGUUCAGUUGGGUAUUCACGUAGAGAUCGAGGGAAGUCGUACUCCGGUGCUAAAACUCAAGCUACUUCAGUGGCAAGUGUGGGCAAUGUGGGAAAUAAUAAACCCAAGUGUCAACAGUGUCGUAGGCGACAUGUUGGUGAGUGUUGGGGGUUUAGAUGAGCUUGUUUCAGGUGUGGUUCUCAAGAGCACUACAUAAAAGAUUGUCCUGAGAGGAUAGAAGAAGAAAGAUUACAGAGAGUUGGAUCGAGUGAUACUGUUAGUAGAGGUAAACCCUCGAAAAAUGCUGGAAGCAGAGUUAGCGGUAAAAGUGUGGUGAAAGAUACAGCCGGGAGACCAGAAACUAGAGCUCCUGCCAGAGCUUAUGCCAUACGUGCUCGUAAGGAUGCAUCAUCUCCUGACAUGAUUACUGAUCAAGAAAGACAAGAAGAUAAUCUCAAACGGGGAAAGGAAAAGAUCGUGGAGUAAAUAGCGAAAUUACAAUAUUUUGCACCGAGUAUAGCUCAGAAAUUUGGACAGAGUCGGAAUAUCAUCCACACUAUCUACAUCUUUUGGGUAUUUUGUAACCAAUACUUUUGAAUUAUGGCAUGUAUAGAUGACUUAAUGUAAAUUGAUAUAUAAUAUAUAUAAAUGUAUUGGUUGAAUUA